GGAAGGUUACGCAGAAGAACAUCCUCAUCGAGCUCAAUGGUAUUAUGAGGCCGGGACUGAACGCCAUAUUAGGAGCAACUGGGAGCGGGAAAUCAUCGUUUCUGGACGUUCUGGCCGCUCGUAAGGAUCCUGCUGGUCUUUCUGGAGAGCUUCUUAUAGACGGAGCUCCACAGCCUCCAAACUUCAAAUGUCUGUCUGGAUACGUAGUGCAGGUAUAAACCACACAAACACUCAUUUACUGCAUUUCCUUUCUUCUGU